rnacentral:lncRNA from 1 species
CUCUCCACCCAGCUCCAGAAUGAGCAUCGGAGAAUCGAUGAACUAGGAUGGCUCUAAUUUUAUACAGUGUCAGAAAGCAAGAAAAAGUCCUGAAAAUUAAAAUUGCUUGAGUGUCUCUGAAUAUGUCUGACCCUUCCAAAGCCCCUCAGGGCCUCCAGAGCUAUGUCUUUAGGACAAGCAGCAGACAGCAGAGCAGGCGGGAAGCAGACUGGUUUUCUCCUUGAAGAGAUGCAAGAAAGGAAAUUCCCCUGUGUUUCAUUUCCAUCAAGAAGCCAGCAGCACUGAGCAAAUGGCACAAAGAAAAGGCAUUGCUUCCACAGUUGCACUGAGAACAGGUAAGGAACAAGAGACACAGAGAGUAGAAGGGACUUGUCCAACGUCACAGAGCUCAUCGGUGAUGGAGGCAGGAUUUGAACACUCAGCCAGAUUGGCCACCAAGCUACUGUUGCCACCAGACCCUUGCACCCGACACAGCGAACUCUCCACCCUUCAACCGUUGCCUCCAUCCCAGACAGGCUGUCUCCUGGAGGACUGCAAACCCUCCCCCUCGCCUCAGGAGCCUCGCCGCACCCAGCCCCAGCCCCACACAGUUGACAAGAAGGUCGGUUCUGUCUCUGGCCAGUCCAUAAGCUCCUUACAGCUGGAGGAUGUCACAUGCUUACUGAGACCUGAAGGCCUGGAUUUCCCAGACAAGCCUGAUCCCAAAUAAGCUGGGCUGUCGUUAAAUCCUGUAUGUGUAGGCGGUCCACGCUGCCUCAGUAGAUGCUUCCCCCAUCCCUGCAGCAGCUCUUGGGGUGAAAUAAGGGCUAGGGUUUCAUGGCAAAGUAAGUUUGGGAAAUACUGAGUUAAACUUACAUGUUUCUUAACUGUGGGGCUUCUCAGAGCUUCUAAAAGGCUAAAGGCUCACUGAUCAUCUGUGAGAGGAUGUGGUAGUACACAGAUGUGGCAGCUUCCCAAAGGGAUGUGACCAGGGAACAAACCCUUUGUCACUGAGUAUCUCAAGGGAACCCACUUUGAGAAACACUUCCUAGAGAAACAUAAUUAGUCCCGGCCCAACAUAGAGUCUCUAUAAGUCAUCUCCAUGUAGAGCAGCAGAAGGAAGCGUGGCAAGGGUGGCUACAACCACCUGAGACUUCACAUCCUCAAAUACCCAAGAAUUUCAACCCAAUCCUCCCGCCACCUUCUCCCCCCAAGUUGAUCAACUUGAACUUGUUUACAACUUGUGGGCAGUUUACCUUCUGGAAGACCACAAUCUGAAGCAGCCAGUAGAAAAAAAGGUAAAGUCAGGCUUCUGGAUAAUCAAAAAGUGAAACAUCCCUUGCGAAAUUCUGAGUUGGCUUUAAAGGAACUGGGGGUGGUGGGAGGGGAGGACGGACUGUGAAAACGCUGGCCUAAUGCCAUCUGGUACCUGGAUAAUGAGAAAAUGCCUUAUGUUGUGUGGUUUUGCGGGAUACCUUCACAUCCAUUUCUUUACUUCUCCUCACAAUAACUGUGUGGUGAUUAAGACAAAUAUUUCCAUUAACUGGUUCUAGAAACUGAGGCCCAGAGAGGGUAAGUGAUCUCUCCAAGAUCACACAGCUAUUUGUGAGUAUAGCUGGAAGCACUUUGAAGAAGGGCCCAGAGCUCAUUCAAUGGCCCCAUUUCAAGCUUUUGGUUGUGGUAUUUCUUUUAAGAGGAUCUAUGCAAAUGUGCUUCCUAAGGAGAGAGACUGUGGGUAGUGCUCACCCAGGCAUAAGGGUGCUCCCAGUACCCACCAACCUGUGCAAGGUCAGAGAGAUCCAUCCGGAAGCUACAGGUCAUGCAAGCCCAUGACCUCCUCCUCCAGGAGCUGCCCACUCAUCCAGGUGAUCUCAUAAAGCCCCGCAGCCACACACAACAUCCACUUUAGCCAAAUCCUCUGAUGUGUGCAGGUCCCCGAGGGAUGCUCUGGACAGGUGAGACAGGCCCAGAUUUGACUCCAGCUCCAGCCUUGCUAAAGCCACUUCGUUACUCCCUGAAAUUCCACUUUCUCAGCUAUGAAGCUGGGUAAGUAACCUCCGCCCUGCCUACUUGGCACAUCUGUGUGAGGAGCGCACGAGAGACUGUCUGGGGGCUGCUGCAUGCUACCGAGGUAUCCUCAUUGCUGCUGCUCACGGGGCUCUGGGCUGUGUGCCUGAACCGCAGGAUAGCUUCCUUCUGGGCCUCUCUGAGGGUGUGAUUGCAGAACCCCAUUCUUGAUGUCUUGCAAACAGCAACGGUGGGUCCAAGGGACUUUGUGCCCCUUUUGCCUGGUGGUGGCUGUGGAACCAAGCCCUGGGACCCAGGACCAGCUGCAGUGGACUGGGAGCUGACUCCACUCCAAAGAGCAUCUUCUCUGUGUCCUCACACACCACCAGUCAGGGCCCAGAGGGACUUAAAGGAAAGAACAUGAACACAAUGUGAGAAUUAGAGGCCAGGCGGUAAGGGCUGCCCACUGCUGCUCAGCCCUCUGCAGCCUCAGCCAGCUCAUGCAAUCCACCCAGUGGACCCUGUGUUAUUCAAGCCCACUGUCACCACCACAUUUUUCCUGGACCAGCAUGUGCUGGUGUUGGAUGCAUCCUGCAUGCAUGCAGCAGGAGUCCCGGCUGCACCUGGUGAGCUGCUGGGCACCCCCACCCCAAUAUGUCUAUUUGCACGAUUUAAAUGUCUUAGGAGGUGAAGAUGUUUGUUUAAGGUAGUUUAGGGGAGGCUUGGAGCAGAGUCAGAGAUGGCCUGAAGUUGCUUCUCCAACCCUCCCUCAGAACAAGACUGAGCCCUGUGAGGAAAUAGUGCAGACAGAGCCAAAAGAACUUCUCUAAGCAACCCUGGGGGGCUUGAGCUGCAGGGCUGACAUGAAAGAGUGAGUCAAGGUGGAGGAAGGCACAUCUCUCCUCUCCAUUCAGGAUAUCAGCGAGACUCUGUACUCCAGUCUAUGGAAGGAGGCAUGAUUUGGUGGACCGUCUGUCCACCAGCCUGCCUCCACCCUGCCUUAGGCUUUCCUAUCGGAGGCAAUGAUGGUUUAGCCCAGUAUUCCCAGAGCAUCUUCUCCAGAGCACCGGGUCCUUGGGAUGCUAAUGCAUGUUAAAUCAAAAGGGUUCCAUGGUAAGUGGAGUUCGGGAAAGAUAAACAGGUGCCCUCGCUGCAGAGUCUUGCUUCUCAGAGCCUUGAAUAUGAUGAUAUUUGUUCAUGGGCUCGAUGAGGAAGAUGUAGUGUGCUGCAGUCAUAACUGCAGAGCAUGCCACAAUAUCACAG